AACCAAGAGGGCAAAUGAAGGCAUUUGCCCUGAGGAAGAAGAACCAUUUCCUUUGCAUGAAGGUGCCUCUCCCUCCUCAAGCUAUGAAACCUUAGGAGUGUGCCCACCAACAGGAGGCACUUCUUCCUAAAUCACAAAGAGGCAAUGGCCAGCCAAACGUCCCCUCUACCAUCUGCCAAGCCUCUCAGGGGACCCUGGAGGAAGAGAAGUUCAUUCUGUCUUCAGACUCAUUCACCCUCUCACCUCUCUACUUAGAUGGCCAAGUGGUGAGUCCAUGUGACUAGUUCUGGCCAAAGGAGUCAUGAACAGAAGCAACAUGGGUCACUUCUGGGCCAAAACGUUUAACUGACAGAGUGAGACCUUCAUGAACUGUCUUUCCUGCUGUCACAGUGAUUGGAAGCAUUCCAGAUAGUGGUUGCAACAUCCAUCAGUCUGGUCUCUGAAAGACAAUGAAGAGCGAUACCCUCAAAUGAUCUGCACCAGAUGUACAGAGAUGGCACAAAGGGGCCCUGGAGUCAAGUUUGCUGGGAAAGUUUGUUAUGGGAUGGAGGGUGGAGAAGAAUAAUAGCAGCCUCAAGGGGAGGAGAGAGAGAAUAGAAUAGAAAGAAGAUGAACUAAAAGAACAAGCACAUCAUGUACAGAAAGGAUAUUAUCCAGCUACAGUAGAGUAGAACGAUGAACCGUCUUGUGGAACCGCAAAAUUCAGCGACUUGUGUAGAACUUUCCAUUGCUACCAUGCAUAAAAUGAAAGCAAUAAAAUUAAAGCAUUAUCAGUAAUGAAGAAACUGGAUUUUCAAUGCCACUUACUGACAAGAUGAUAUAAAGGUUGGAGAUAAUCUCUCGAUGAUACACCAAGAAAGAGAAAAAGAAAAGGCGUAUUUCUCACUGGCACACACUAAAAUCCGAUGAUGUGAGAAGACUACCUUUUCUGACAGUCCUUUUAUCUUCACUCUCCGACUAAAGUUUGAGAGAAGGAAUUAUUGAAAUUCAAUAAAGAAUUAUGGCAAUCCCAGCCUUCACUCCCCUUGAUGCCCCACAGGAAGAAUGGAGCUGAGUGAUGGAUGGUGGGAAAAAGAAGAGGAGCACAAGAUGGAGAAAUAGAGAAAGUCAAUCAUGCUGUCUUACCGUGAGGUUCAACAUGAAGAAUGCCAGUGCUGAGCCAGAGGACAGCUUCAAAUUUAAAUAAAUUUCUGAGUUUUGUUAUUACAUGUACUGAACAACUUAAUUACCUGAAUGAAAAUGUUUUGUGAAUAAGAGUGACAGGAGAACUUUUGAGAGUGAUGAGAAAAACCAUAGGGAAAAGAAGCAGUUUGAAUAUAAAGUUACCUCUUCUCUAUCUGAAACUCCCACUAAAAGUUCAGUAAAUAUAUAUACAUAUAUAUGUGUAUAUAUAAAUAUAUAUGUCUUUUAAGGCAUAAACCCACUGGGACAAAGGAAAUUGGAGAGGAGGCAAUUAUAGCAGACCCAGCAGUAAAAGUUUUGGAGACUGGAAGCCAGCAGGACGACUGGUAACAGGUAAAGCAGAACCAAGAAAACUGAAUCCUCCUCAGUGGGAGGGCUGACAGUCAAUUCGAUUUCAUUAAAAGAUUACUAAAAGGCUCAGGAGUUGGCUAGCAUAGGGACCUGUAGAAGUGGAGGUGAAGAUGGGUGAAGUAGAAUCACUGAAUUUCUGUUUAAAAACCAUUAGAAUAUCUAGAUUCCCUCCAGCUUGUUUCAUGCCUUUCCUCUGUUCCUCCAUAGCCCUUAUAUUUCCUUUUAUAUUUCCAAAUAAUGUACUUUAUAUUCUCUUUUCUGACUUCUCCCUUUAGAUAGUAUCUUUUUACUUCCCUACAUAUUUUUCUAUCCCUGGUAGUUUUACUAUCAUUUUGGAUGAUUGAUAUAUCAUGUUUACAUUAUU